AGGAAGGACUUGGUGUAAAAAUUGUGAUAGUUGAUUGAAUAUUAGAUAUUAUAGAUUUUGAUUUUGGUCAAAGUGUCCUAGUAUUAAUUGCAUCCAGCCUUUUAGAUAGGAUGCAUUAGGCUUGAUUUUUGUAUGCCUGCAUUUUGUAACCCUCAUUCCACCCUCCUGUAAAGCUGUCAUGUGUAAGUUUCCUACCGCUUCCAUCCUUAUCAGACCCUAGAAGGGCAGAUGAUGUCUUUGACAUGUUUUGGGAAAAGAGAACUAAGAUAGGGACUAGGAACAUCAACAGCCCCACCGUGGGUCUGGUUGCCAAGGAAAUGGUGCAAAAUAUGAGACCCAAAUGACCUGGGCACUCUGGGACACCCCAAGGUAAUUUCAGAGGAGUCAAUAUCCACAUUGAGCCACGCAUCCCAUGACCUGUGACGUUUCUUGAUGCAAGUGGAUGAGUGUUGUGGCAUUUUAUGAGUCUUUGUGUGCUGUGUAUAUAAGCUUUCUUCUAAUGUGCCUCCUGGCAGCCUUUUCAAACCAGCCCUUCUGCUGAAGAACUGGAUAGCAAGGCUGUCCGAUUGCAAUAGUUUGAAUAAAAUGGGUCCCUGCAGGACUCUGAAUCUGCUCUC